rnacentral:rRNA from 1 species
UACGGAGGGGGCGAGCGUUGUCCGAAGUUACUGGGCGUAAAGCGCGCGUAGGCGGGAGGCCAAGUCCGCUGUGAAAGCCCGGGGCUCAACCCCGGCGGGUCGGUGGAGACUGGUCUUCUUGAAGAUGCUAGGGGGAGGUGGAAUUAUCGGUGUAGCGGUGAAAUGCGUAGAGAUCGAUAGGAACACCAGUGGCGAAGGCGGCCUCCUGGGGCACUCUUGACGCUGAGGAGCGAAAGCGUGGGGAGCGAACAGG